GGCGGACGGGUGAGUAACGCGUGAGAAUCUGCCUUCAGGAUGGGGACAACAGUUGGAAACGACUGCUAAUACCCGAUAUGACGAAAGUUGAAAGAUUUAUCGCCUGGAGAUGAGCUCGCGUCAGAUUAGCUAGAUGGUGUGGUAACGGCGCACCAUGGCGACGAUCUGUAGCUGGUCUGAGAGGAUGAGCAGCCACACUGGGACUGAGACACGGCCCAGACUCCUACGGGAGGCAGCAGUGGGGAAUUUUCCGCAAUGGGCGCAAGCCUGACGGAGCAAUACCGCGUGAGGGAGGAAGGCUCUUGGGUCGUAAACCUCUUUUCUCAGGGAAGAAUAAAAUGACGGUACCUGAGGAAUCAGCAUCGGCUAACUCCGUGCCAGCAGCCGCGGUAAUACGGAGGAUGCAAGCGUUAUCCGGAAUGAUUGGGCGUAAAGCGUCCGUAGGUGGUCAUGUAAGUCUGUGGUUAAAGCGUGGGGCUCAACCCCAUAAAGGCCAUGGAAACUACACGACUAGAGUCAAGUAGGGGUAGAGGGAAUUCCCAGUGUAGCGGUGAAAUGCGUAGAGAUUGGGAAGAACACCGGUGGCGAAAGCGCUCUACUGGACUUAAACUGACACUGAGGGACGAAAGCUAGGGGAGCGAAAGGGAUU
rnacentral:rRNA from 1 species